GGAAAGCAGCAGUGGAGAAAUGGAAUAAGAAAAAGAAACAAGAUCUGAACGCUGAUGAUUUUGUGAUUGAUGUGGUUGAUAUAGAUCUUGGCAUGAAGGCUAAAAACCCCAUGGGCAGUGUUUAUUUCUACCGCAAGAGGGACCCUGACAAAGCCUUCCUGAUUACUGAUCAGAUGUUCCUGCCAAAAGAUUUUUAUGAAGAGCUGUUUAGAGUGUACUAUAAAGGCCCAGAAGAAAAGCUCAAGGAAGCUCAGAAGUGCUUUGAUGAGUGGAAGGCACUGAAGAACACAACCCAGUGAGAUCUCACAUCAGGUCAAGGACAGCGAUCUCGUGAGGAGUACUGGUUCAGACACUUCCUCAAUGUGUGGAUGUUUUAUCUUUUUAGAUUAACCAAACAAGUUUUAUCACCAUGGUCAUAUUAUUAACUUACAUAGUCUACACUGUAAAACCCAACCAUUUAAGUUAGCUCAAACCAUUUGAGGAAACCGGUUGCCUUAAACCAUUUGUUUAAAAAACAAUAUUUAUGAGUACCAUGAACAUAUUCGUCCACAAACAGAGACUGCCUGAAAUCACACCCUAUACAUGUACUAUUCCCUACAUUAGUUUACUAAUAUAAACCACUUGAGAGAGUGAAUUCAGACACUGAUGAACACCUGCUGUUAACAAUAAGAAUCACUGAAGGAAAGAGAUGAGCAGAAACACAAAGACUGUUUUCCAAUCACAGCCUUAAAGGAUUGAAACAUUAACAUUUUCAAGGGUCAAGAGGUCAACUAAAGCAAACACAGAUCUCCAUCAUGGUAAUGUCAAACAAAACAAACAUCAACAUCUAAACCUCGGUUAAUUCUCAAUAAAAACUGUUGUUUACUCAGAUCUUGAGAGAUUUAAUGUCUUAUCUUCAGUUGAAUUCAUGUAGCAUCACGAUUAAAUGAUGACGAGUGAUUGACAGCUCUGCUCUAAACCUCUAUUAAUGCUGUACUCUUAUGAUUGCUACUGAAGCCACACAUGUGUGCAUAUGAGCUUAUUUCUGAAUAAACCUAAUGACAGAUGACAAAACAUAGGACACUAAGUGGUGCAAUGAAAAAUCAGUGAUGAUCAAGUGAAAUCAUAAAAAAUACCCAAAUCAAAGUAAACAAAGUUGCUAAAUUAAGGUAGAUGGGGACUUUUGACCUCGGAUAGACUUAAAGUGCUGGUAAUGGGAUGUUUUAGUUCACAAAUAUGGUAGAAAAUUUGGGCAAAAUAGCAGAUUUAUAUUCUAUUUACUUGCUAUUAUUAUUCACACAAUGUGGUGCUGAUGUCAGAUAGACAUUAAUGAGUGAUUGACUAUAGAGGAUGGUGAAGGGUUGUGCUAUAACAAUAAAUACAGGUAACUGAUGGAUCAUUUAAUAUUAUCUCACUCCUUUAGUUGUGUGUAGAGUAGAGAUCUGUUACUGAUCUUGAGAGAGAUUUUGAGGAUUUACACAUUUUUUGGGAUUAAAUUGUAUACAGAGGCUUUCUAGAUCUUAACCUUUGACCUUUAUUCAGUUCAGAUACAUAUUUAUUGUGUUAUUUCUGGGAAAAAAAGUUAUUUAUGAAAAAAUCUUUUGUUUUUCAGUUUGUUGUCAUAACCUAAAUAAAUAACUGUGUUGUGUUUACAGCAAUGGUGGAGCAGUGAUUUAUUAUCUCUUAUCUACUGUAAUAAAUGUGAUCUUUCCUUUA